rnacentral:rRNA from 1 species
UACGGAGGAUCCAAGCGUUAUCCGGAAUCAUUGGGCUUAAAGGGUCCGUAGGCGGUUUUGUAAGUCAGUGGUGAAAGCCCAUCGCUCAACGGUGGAACGGCCAUUGAUACUGCAAGACUUGAAUUAUUGGGAAGUAACUAGAAUAUGUAGUGUAGCGGUGAAAUGCUUAGAGAUUACAUGGAAUACCAAUUGCGAAGGCAGGUUACUAUCAAUAUAUUGACGCUGAUGGACGAAAGCGUGGGUAGCAAACAGG